rnacentral:rRNA from 1 species
GAGUUUGAUCCUGGCUCAGGAUGAACGCUGGCGGCGUGCCUAACACAUGCAAGUCGAACGGACUUACAUUGAAGCCUAGCGAUAUGUAAGUUAGUGGCGGACGGGUGAGUAACGCGUGGGUAACCUGCCUUGUACUGGGGGACAACAGUUGGAAACGACUGCUAAUACCGCAUAAGCGCACGGCAUCGCAUGAUGCAGUGUGAAAAACUCCGGUGGUAUAAGAUGGACCCGCGUUGGAUUAGCUAGUUGGUGAGGUAACGGCCCACCAAGGCGACGAUCCAUAGCCGACCUGAGAGGGUGACCGGCCACAUUGGGACUGAGACACGGCCCAAACUCCUACGGGAGGCAGCAGUGGGGAAUAUUGCACAAUGGGCGAAAGCCUGAUGCAGCGACGCCGCGUGAGCGAAGAAGUAUUUCGGUAUGUAAAGCUCUAUCAGCAGGGAAGAUAAUGACGGUACCUGACUAAGAAGCACCGGCUAAAUACGUGCCAGCCGCCGCGGUAAUUC